UACGUAGGGUGCAAGCGUUAAUCGGAAUUACUGGGCGUAAAGCGUGCGCAGGCGGUUGUGCAAGACCGAUGUGAAAUCCCCGGGCUCAACCUGGGAAUGGCAUUGGUGACUGCACGGUUAGAGUGUGUCAGAGGGGGGUAGAAUUCCACGUGUAGCAGUGAAAUGCGUAGAGAUGUGGAGGAAUACCGAUGGCGAAGGCAGCCCCCUGGGAUAACACUGACGCUCAUGCACGAAAGCGUGGGGAGCAAACAGG
rnacentral:rRNA from 1 species